AUCAAUACGAAAAAUUAAAAGGGAAGAGGAGGGGAAAUUAGAUUAUUAUGUUCCGUUGAUACCAUUGAUUCGUGUUCUGUACUUGAUUCAACCUUCAGAGGAAAAAGAAAUGAAAAAGGAGGAGUGAAAAGGAAAACUUUCUUGUCCCUGGUUUUCUUUUUUCUAUGGUUCAUCAUUAUUUGAAUCUACAUGAGGUAGAUCAAGCUGGCUGUUCGAAAAAAAAAAAGAAAAAGAAAAAGAAAGAAAAAAAAAAUAGAUAAGAAAGAAAAAACAUGACUUGCUUGGCGUUUUCUUUUGUGGUCCCCUUCAGACGAGGCUCCAACCUCCUAGUUAACUAGUUGACCAUUCUAUUAUCUAAUAUUAACACUCCAACCCCAUAGUUAUGUGACUCCAGGCAAUCCACCUUACUACAGCC
rnacentral:sRNA from 1 species